rnacentral:rRNA from 1 species
UUAAGUUAGAAAGGGCGCACGGUGGAUGCCUUGACACUAGGAGUCGAUGAAGGACGGGACUAACGCCGAUAUGCUUCGGGGAGCUGUAAGUAAGCUUUGAUCCGAAGAUUUCCGAAUGGGGAAACCCACCAUACGUAAUGGUAUGGUAUCCUUAUCUGAAUACAUAGGGUAAGGAAGACAGACCCAGGGAACUGAAACAUCUAAGUACCUGGAGGAAGAGAAAGCAAAUGCGAUUUCCUGAGUAGCGGCGAGCGAAACGGAACAUAGCCCAAACCAAGAGGCUUGCCUCUUGGGGUUGUAGGACAUUCUAUACGGAGUUACAAAGGAACGAGGUAGACGAAGCGACCUGGAAAGGUCCGUCGUAGAGGGUAACAACCCCGUAGUCGAAACUUCGUUCUCUCUUGAAUGUAUCCUGAGUACGGCGGAACACGUGAAAUUCCGUCGGAAUCUGGGAGGACCAUCUCCCAAGGCUAAAUACUCCCUAGUGAUCGAUAGUGAACCAGUACCGUGAGGGAAAGGUGAAAAGCACCCCGGAAGGGGAGUGAAAGAGAUCCUGAAACCGUGUGCCUACAAAUAGUCAGAGCCCGUUAACGGGUGAUGGCGUGCCUUUUGUAGAAUGAACCGGCGAGUUACGAUCCCGUGCGAGGUUAAGCUGAAGAGGCGGAGCCGCAGCGAAAGCGAGUCUGAAUAGGGCGUUUAGUACGUGGUCGUAGACCCGAAACCAGGUGAUCUACCCAUGUCCAGGGUGAAGUUCAGGUAACACUGAAUGGAGGCCCGAACCCACGCACGUUGAAAAGUGCGGGGAUGAGGUGUGGGUAGCGGAGAAAUUCCAAUCGAACCUGGAGAUAGCUGGUUCUCCCCGAAAUAGCUUUAGGGCUAGCCUUAAGUGUAAGAGUCUUGGAGGUAGAGCACUGAUUGGACUAGGGGUCCUCAUCGGAUUACCGAAUUCAGUCAAACUCCGAAUGCCAAUGACUUAUCCUUAGGAGUCAGACUGCGAGUGAUAAGAUCCGUAGUCAAAAGGGAAACAGCCCAGACCGCCAGCUAAGGUCCCAAAGUGUGUAUUAAGUGGAAAAGGAUGUGGAGUUGCUUAGACAACUAGGAUGUUGGCUUAGAAGCAGCCACCAUUUAAAGAGUGCGUAAUAGCUCACUAGUCGAGUGACUCUGCGCCGAAAAUGUACCGGGGCUAAAUACACCACCGAAGCUGCGGAUUGAUACCAAUGGUAUCAGUGGUAGGGGAGCGUUCUAAGGACAGUGAAGUCAGACCGGAAGGACUGGUGGAGUGCUUAGAAGUGAGAAUGCCGGUAUGAGUAGCGAAAGACGGGUGAGAAUCCCGUCCACCGAAUGCCUAAGGUUUCCUGAGGAAGGCUCGUCCGCUCAGGGUUAGUCAGGACCUAAGCCGAGGCCGACAGGCGUAGGCGAUGGACAACAGGUUGAUAUUCCUGUACCACCUCUUUAUCGUUUGAGCAAUGGAGGGACGCAGAAGGAUAGAAGAAGCGUGCGAUUGGUUGUGCACGUCCAAGCAGUUAGGCUGAUAAGUAGGCAAAUCCGCUUAUCGUGAAGGCUGAGCUGUGAUGGGGAAGCUCCUUAUGGAGCGAAGUCUUUGAUUCCCCGCUGCCAAGAAAAGCUUCUAGCGAGAUAAAAGGUGCCUGUACCGCAAACCGACACAGGUAGGCGAGGAGAGAAUCCUAAGGUGUGCGAGAGAACUCUGGUUAAGGAACUCGGCAAAAUGACCCCGUAACUUCGGGAGAAGGGGUGCUUUCUUAACGGAAAGCCGCAGUGAAUAGGCCCAAGCGACUGUUUAGCAAAAACACAGCUCUCUGCGAAGCCGUAAGGCGAAGUAUAGGGGCUGACGCCUGCCCGGUGCUGGAAGGUUAAGGAGAGGGGUUAGCGUAAGCGAAGCUCUGAACUGAAGCCCCAGUAAACGGCGGCCGUAACUAUAACGGUCCUAAGGUAGCGAAAUUCCUUGUCGGGUAAGUUCCGACCCGCACGAAAGGUGUAACGAUUUGGGCACUGUCUCAACCAGAGACUCGGUGAAAUUAUAGUACCUGUGAAGAUGCAGGUUACCCGCGACAGGACGGAAAGACCCCGUGGAGCUUUACUGUAGCCUGAUAUUGAAUUUUGGUACAGUUUGUACAGGAUAGGCGGGAGCCUUUGAAACCGGAGCGCUAGCUUCGGUGGAGGCGCUGGUGGGAUACCGCCCUGACUGUAUUGAAAUUCUAACCUACGGGUCUUAUCGACCCGGGAGACAGUGUCAGGUGGGCAGUUUGACUGGGGCGGUCGCCUCCUAAAGUGUAACGGAGGCGCCCAAAGGUUCCCUCAGAAUGGUUGGAAAUCAUUCGUAGAGUGCAAAGGCAUAAGGGAGCUUGACUGCGAGACCUACAAGUCGAGCAGGGACGAAAGUCGGGCUUAGUGAUCCGGUGGUUCCGCAUGGAAGGGCCAUCGCUCAACGGAUAAAAGCUACCCCGGGGAUAACAGGCUUAUCUCCCCCAAGAGUCCACAUCGACGGGGAGGUUUGGCACCUCGAUGUCGGCUCAUCGCAUCCUGGGGCUGUAGUCGGUCCCAAGGGUUGGGCUGUUCGCCCAUUAAAGCGGUACGCGAGCUGGGUUCAGAACGUCGUGAGACAGUUCGGUCCCUAUCCGUCGUGGGCGUAGGAAAUUUGAGAGGAGCUGUCCUUAGUACGAGAGGACCGGGAUGGACGCACCGCUGGUGUACCAGUUGUUCUGCCAAGGGCAUAGCUGGGUAGCUAUGUGCGGAAGGGAUAAGUGCUGAAAGCAUCUAAGCAUGAAGCCCCCCUCAAGAUGAGAUUUCCCAUAGCGUAAGCUAGUAAGAUCCCUGAAAGAUGAUCAGGUUGAUAGGUUCGAGGUGGAAGCAUGGUGACAUGUGGAGCUGACGAAUACUAAUAGAUCGAGGACUUAACCAU